rnacentral:rRNA from 1 species
GGCGGCAGGCCUAACACAUGCAAGUCGAGCGGUAACAUUUCUAGCUUGCUAGAAGAUGACGAGCGGCGGACGGGUGAGUAACGCGUAGAAAUCUACCUAGUAGUGGGGGAUAGCCCAGAGAAAUUUGGAUUAAUACCGCAUACGCCCUACGGGGGAAAGCGGGGGAUCUUCGGACCUCGUGCUAUUAGAUGAGUCUGCGUCGGAUUAGCUUGUUGGUGAGGUAAUGGCUCACCAAGGCGACGAUCCGUAGCUGGUCUGAGAGGAUGAUCAGCCACACUGGGACUGAGACACGGCCCAGACUCCUACGGGAGGCAGCAGUGGGGAAUAUUGCACAAUGGGCGCAAGCCUGAUGCAGCCAUGCCGCGUGUGUGAAGAAGGCCUUAGGGUUGUAAAGCACUUUCAGCAGUGAGGAAAGGGGUGUCGUUAAUAGCGCCAUCCUGUGACGUUAACUGCAGAAGAAGGACCGGCUAACUCCGUG